UUUUACAGUGGAGUACUACU
rnacentral:misc_RNA from 1 species